rnacentral:rRNA from 1 species
UACGGAGGGUGCAAGCGUUAUCCGGAUUUACUGGGUUUAAAGGGUGCGUAGGUGGGUAGGGAAGUCAGUGGGGAAAUCUUCGGGCUUAACCCGGAAACUGCCAUUGAUACUAUUUAUCUUGAAUACUUUGGAGGUAAGCGGAAUAUGUCAUGUAGCGGUGAAAUGCUUAGAUAUGACAUAGAACACCAAUUGCGAAGGCAGCUUACCACACAGUUAUUGACACUGAGGCACGAAAGCGUGGGGAUCAAACAGG